UGUGGCGGCCUGGCGUCUGUCUGUGUCCCGUUAGGGGUGAGUGUGGACCUGCGUUUCUUCGGAACCUUAGCAGAAGCUCGGCCUUGCGUAUCCGAAACCGCAAAUUCAUUGCCUAACAUGGAACUACCUGGUACCUGGAAACCUGGAACUUGCUUUUUCAAACCCACCUUUCUCGCCAUGCUCUCCAUUCCUCCCUGCUGCUGUCUUGCCGUAUAUCCUCUCUCGGGUCCUCCCAAAAGGUUUAGGAGUUUUGUGCAGGAAGAUAAUACACAAUUUCUGUUUUCUGCCCUACAAUACGACUCCUUCGGAACCACGUUAAGAUCCCUUUUUAAAAAUCCCACCUGAAAGGCUUUAAAACAAUGAUUGCUGCUGUUGUCAUAAUGUGAGAAUUCGUUUUUCCAUAAUUUUUCUGAUCAAGUACAGGCUUCUCAAGCUGCAGUAUGCAUGCACAACCCCAAAUCUGUGCAGAGAGGAUGCAAAACAGCAGACUCCGUGGUACAACUUUCUGGAGCAUCAAUUUUUCUGUAGGAUUUGGAACAACCGAAGUUACAUAAUUUACAAGAAUUUCUCACCGUGCUAUCACCUAUGACCCAGCUUGAGAAACACAGCCUCCUACGUGGACACAAAGCCCUGAGCUCAAUGGUGCUGCCUGUGUACAAGCUGCAUCAGAUAACAUCUCCUGCCCCUACGCUUCUCUCUGAACUCAGAUGGGAGACCCUGCAUCCUCUGUGGGAGCCAAAACUACCACCUUGAGAAUCAAGAGCUGCCUGAGCCAGGAAGACCCCCGUGACUGACCCCAUGGCCACAACGACCUGACCUUCAUGGCCCACAUGCACAAACACACUCACCUCUGUCUGACAUCCUCCUGACUUAAACCUGGAAGGAUCAUCAGCACUUUGGAGACAGACUUUGAGAUGCUAGUCCAUGUCCUCCUGGUGUUGGUCUCAUGGAAAUAAAUUCCUUGUUUCAUGACACCUCAUCUCUCUGCCUGUGGAUUUUGUCAGCAGCAAGUGGCCCUUCCUGGUCCAUCUGGGACCUGAAGCCAGGCACAGUCCCCAUCCCCAUCCCCAUAGAAUAUAACUGGUCAUUUUUCAGAACCCCAGUUCAUCUCUUUCCACCCAUGGGUCCUGUCCUGGGCUUUAAUAAAAUCACCUUUUUGCACCAAA